GACGUAGGGCGCGAGCGUUGUCCGGAUUUAUUGGGCGUAAAGAGCUCGUAGGCGGCUUGUCGCGUCGACUGUGAAAUCCCGCGGCUCAACUGCGGGUCUGCAGUCGAUACGGGCAGGCUAGAGUUCGGUAGGGGAGACUGGAAUUCCUGGUGUAGCGGUGAAAUGCGCAGAUAUCAGGAGGAACACCGGUGGCGAAGGCGGGUCUCCUGG
rnacentral:rRNA from 1 species